UCCUGGUGCAGUGGUUAGCACUGUUGCCUGUUGCACAGCAAGAAGGUCGUGGGUUCGAAUCCGGCCUGGGG